AUGAACGAAUCUCUUUCUUCCACUCUUCUUCAUAUCUGGCAACACACAUUCAAACAUACAGGAUGCGAUGAUUCUCAACUCCUCCCGAUCUCCGCCAAAUGCUGUGGAAGCGGAGCAAGAUGCCAUUUCCGAUGCCUACAGAGGGUUAGAUGGCAGCCGUGAUACUGCAGAUUGAGCUGUGGCGAGAGGGGUAGGUGUGAGUGCACGUAAGAAACCCAAAAUGCUUCAUGUUCAGCUACAGUAGUGAGAUAUAUUACAUAAGGUGUAUGAAUCACCACAGAAUGGUCCAUUAUUCAUUUACUGUCAUGUAACUAAUCAAUCAUUUUUCACGUCCACUGUCCUGUUAGUCUGCUUGAAAACAGUAUGAAUUUGAAGCCCCUUUGUUGACACAGUGUAAAGUGUUAACAAAGGGCUCAGAAGAGCAACAGAAGCUCGUGAUUAAUGUGCAUGUUAGACAUGGAGAAGUGCUUUUUAUUCACAAAGGGUUUUGGCCUGAGCGUGAGACAUUCACACCCUCUCAUCUGAUAAUUGUACGAUAGAGACACAGUGAAUCACUCUUACCUCUUGCCCUCUUCUUAUCUCUUCUCUGUCGGCCUUUUUUCAAUUGCACAACACGUGAGAGCAAUUGCAAUCGCAUUCUUCCGCACACAUUGGUGCACACUCGCUGUUGGGCAUCUGGCCCUCACUGACAUUCUUUCGCCAGUGGUUUCACUGUCAGGGUGAUUCAGAAAUCCAAAUGAAAGCUACUAUCAAACAGUGUCUGUCCGGCUAGACUGGCCAUUGAGCUGGCAGACAGGCCCUUCAUUGCUCUGCUGCUCUCAGACUCACUGCAUUUAUGCCCUGUGAGUCGCAUUAUAAUAUUCAUGGGGUCGGUAUGGGUGUGUGUGUGUGUGUGUGAGUUGAAGCGUGGACACACUCUGUUUAAUGUGUUGUUAAAUUUUGCAGCAGGUAACUUGCAACACGUCCAUUGACAUUCUACUUCAGUCACAGUACUGCUUUAAUAACGCUCGACUCCCUUGACCUGGACCGUAGAUAAAUGUGGCCCGGGGCAUUUGCAUUUUUCACAUUUCACACCAAAAGAAGAGGUUUUUUUCUUAUAGAAUGUCAAUCAGGCCUCUGUAGUGGGCUGGAUAUCUGAUUGGCCUAAACUGUUUCCACAGAUCAGCAGAAUAAAACAUAGCGCUCUACUUUUAGGUCCAAAAUAAUUGGCAGAAGAUAAAUUAAUUCUAUUUAGGGCAUAACUAGACCUCAGGAUGCUUCAUGCACAACCUUGUAUUGAACUUUGGAAGGUGGUGUACUAUGAGGAGAUAAAGCAAAGCUUCUUUGAUUACACUGAUCAACACUAGCACUGAUUAUAAAUACUAAUGAUCACUAAUGAUUAUUU
rnacentral:lncRNA from 12 species